rnacentral:rRNA from 1 species
UUAAGUCGACCGCCUGGGGAGUACGGCCGCAAGGUUAAAACUCAAAUGAAUUGACGGGGGCCCGCACAAGCGGUGGAGCAUGUGGUUUAAUUCGAUGCAACGCGAAGAACCUUACCUGGUCUUGACAUCCACGGAAGUUUUCAGAGAUGAGAAUGUGCCUUCGGGAACCGUGAGACAGGUGCUGCAUGGCUGUCGUCAGCUCGUGUUGUGAAAUGUUGGGUUAAGUCCCGCAACGAGCGCAACCCUUAUCCUUUGUUGCCAGCGGUCCGGCCGGGAACUCAAAGGAGACUGCCAGUGAUAAACUGGAGGAAGGUGGGGAUGACGUCAAGUCAUCAUGGCCCUUACGACCAGGGCUACACACGUGCUACAAUGGCGCAUACAAAGAGAAGCGACCUCGCGAGAGCAAGCGGACCUCAUAAAGUGCGUCGUAGUCCGGAUUGGAGUCUGCAACUCGACUCCAUGAAGUCGGAAUCGCUAGUAAUCGUGGAUCAGAAUGCCACGGUGAAUACGUUCCCGGGCCUUGUACACACCG